rnacentral:lncRNA from 1 species
UUAACAAUCAAACUCACGUGCCCUCGGUACAAUCUGAUGCAAAAACAGCAAUCUGAGUCCACCGUCAACCUCAACGGCACCCGACAGUCCGUAACAGCCUAAACACUGCUGUAAAAAUAAGCUCGGCAUCCCAGCACGAGCGUAAAUGCAUUCUACACUAUCCUGAAUAUCCACAGCCAACAAACUAUAGCGAUACAAAUAAACUACAGCUCCUAAGCUAUUCGCGUAUCAAAUACGCACUAACAGCGUAGAUACGAACCGCAACAGCUUUAGAAGCUAUCUGAGUAUCAAAUGCGUACUAACAGCGUGGAUAUGAAACGCAACAGUUUCAGAAACUAUCUGAGUAU